rnacentral:rRNA from 1 species
GAUGAACGCUGACAGAAUGCUUAACACAUGCAAGUCUUUGGUGAAGCUGUGCUUGCACAGCCUAGCCAAGGCGGACGGGUGAGUAACGCGUAAGGAACUUGCCCUGCAGUCAGGGAUAACAGACGGAAACGACUGAUAAGACCUGGUAAAGUCAGGCGGACUCAUGUCCAGCCUGAUGAAAAGAGAUGCUGCAGGGGAGCCUUGCGUCCUAUUAGCUUGUUGGUGGGGUAACGGCCCACCAAGGCAAUGAUAGGUAGCCGGCCUGAGAGGGUGGACGGCCACAAGGGGACUGAGAUACGGCCCUUACUCCUACGGGAGGCAGCAGUGGGGAAUAUUGGACAAUGGGGGCAACCCUGAUCCAGCAAUUCUGUGUGCACGAUGAAGGUUUUCGGAUUGUAAAGUGCUUUCAGCAGGGAAGAAAAAAAUGACGGUACCUGCAGAAGAAGCGACGGCUAAAUACGUG